CACCGGCACUCAUGCCGGAAUGAUAAUAACGAUGAAAUUCCUCUUUGACGGGCCAAUAUGAUUAUUGGCCAUUUUUUU
rnacentral:sRNA from 1 species